CACUUCCCUUUUCCACGGAAGGGUUAUUUUAUGCUUUUCUUAUUAUGUGCCUUUUAGUGGGAAGAUUUUGGAAUCAACUAACCUGGUAACACGAUGACCCAGGAAAUUUGAAAGACAGAAUGGGCUAGGCAAGUCCCCUGUGAGCCUGUCCCGGGGCGACUGGGCUUACAGAGAGGAGCAGGGACUGCUCGCAUUCAGAGGACAUUUCAAUGACUCGCUUCCCGGUAAUAGCCACAGCUCUCAGCUGUGUACGUGACAUAUGAGCUGUCAGCUAUGCAGGAACUCAGGCUAAUUAAAUAACGCAUGGACACGCAAUUACAAUUUUUUUAGAUCGGGAAGUUUACUGGAAUUUCACGGAGCCUGCACAUGAACACGAUGUGGUGGGUGACUAUGGCUUGUGUGGUGUCUCAGAGGUUAAGACUUAAGGGAGGGUGGCACCAAGCUGCGGUUACAGUGACAGGUCAGCUAACUUCUGCAGGAGAUGAACGUGCAGAAAAACACAACACGUGAAGCUGGGUUCCUGCUUACGUCAGUGGUAGCCGGCUUUCACGGAGGCCCAUGUGCCUGACUGAGUUCCGUCAGCCUUUAGCACUAGGUCCUGCUCACUAAUCGCAGGUCUGCCACGGGCUGGGAAUGCACCGGUGACCUGAGGUGCUGCUUAGGUGCUCACAGUCCCCAGGGAAGCCGAGGAGGUGUGGACAUCACCCCACUGUGCCCAGCAGUUUUAUUCAUAAUUGCCAAAAUCUGGAAGCAACCAAGAUGACCUGCAAUAUGUGAAUGGAUAAGCAAGUGAUGGUGCACCCAGACAAUUGAAUAUUUAGUGCCAAAAAGGAGGGGGCUACCAAGCUGUGAACAGGCAUGGAGAAACCUUAAAUGCAGUUGCUGUGAAAGAAGUGACUAUGAAAAGGCUACGGUUUGAUUCCAACUGUAUGACAUCUUGGAAACGGUGAAGCUGUGGAUACAGUAAAAACGUCAGGGCGUCAGGGAUUGGGAACAGGGAAUGUCAAAUAGGAGCCCAGGAUUUUUAGGGCAGUGAAACUAGUUCUGUGUGAUUCUAUAAUCGUGGACACAUCUCUUACAUUUGUCAAAACUCAUAGAAUGUAAAACACGAAGAGUGAACCCUAAUGUCGACUACGGGCUUUCAGUGCCAAUGACGGGUCAAUGCAAGUCCAACAAACGCACCAUCUGGUGCAGGGUGCUGAUCGGAGGGGAGAUGGGGGGGGGAGGACAGAAUUUGGGAACUCUUACUUUCUGCUCAAUUUUUCCAAAAGCCUUGAAACUGCUUUAAAAUCUAUUAAUUAAAACAAAACCAUAUUCUACAAGCUGAACACCUGAAGCAGCAGUGCAGUCGCUUUUUGGCAAACCUCCAGCACAGAAUCUAACAUUCACACCUGCACGCCAGGCGUCAAUGCGGAGGGCGUCCCGGGCAGGCACAGCGACCAGCGGGGCACAGGUAAUCCAUUGUGAGCUCCGCCAUUUCUUCUGCACGAAGAGUGUGCACACCAGGUCUGGCGAUGGGAAAGCACAGGCGGUAAGAGUCAGAGAGAAGUCAUCUUCGUGGGAGUGUCAGGCACCAGGUCUGACCUGCACGGAACUGCAGGCGAACCCGACCCUGUUGUCUGCCAGAGACGGCUGCCACCGACCACCCCCCUGACGCCAGAUGCUUGCAGCAGAAAAGCCUCAACAGAACAGGAAUGCUGUAUGGACCGCAGCCUUCGACAGCGAGCUCCUGCCACGCCGCCAACAGGGCCUCAUGAGCUGAAGUCAUCACUCCAACUGUAUUGUCUACUUCAGCUGUCCUGGCCCCUUCACUGUACUGGCCCCU